ACAGGCGAAAACAAACUUUAGUGACAACUUUAGCUAAUCGGAUAGUGUAUGUAAAGCUCCGUUAUAACCGCCGAAUGUAAUAGAGAGCGAUGACGCUUUCUCGAUAAUUCUAUAACGUGGGAGAUGUGUAUGCACACUGCACAGCUGUUUUCAUUAUUCCAGAAGGAUAUAGAGCGAUUAUAAACUAAAAGGCAAUAUGAGGAGGCACUACCUUGACCAGCAGUUCCAUUUCCAGUGGAUUGGAAGAUGAAGUUUAUUUCUUUGGCCACUUUGGUCUCCAGACUCAACUUGUCUCGAUUUUUAUUUAUGGGGAAGAAUAUAGGAUCUCAUUUACAAAACUCAAUCAACAACAGGAGAAAAUGUGAUCGGGAGAAUUGGAACGGCUGUAAUAAAUAGCAUAUCCAUGGUGGAAAUUGAAAUACUGAUAUUUUGUCAACACAACAAAAGAUGUAUACCGCUAUAUUCAGAAUGAUGAAAAACAUUUCGAACACAUAAGUGCCUAAUUUUUCUGAGCAUUUUGUUACUUGUUACCUGUUGUAAUAUUAUCUUUCAUGCAAUAACCUGUUCAUUAAAAUUGCACAAGAAGGGUACAAGAGAUGGCAAUUUAAAUAUUUAUUCGUUUCCGCCACCCUUAUUAUCGAUCCAAUAAAGAUUUGGCUUAAACUGAA